UACGUAGGGGGCAAGCGUUGUUCGGAUUUAUUGGGCGUAAAGAGCGUGUAGGCGGCCAGGUAGGUCUGGUGUGAAAACUCGAGGCUCAACCUCGAGAGGUCAUCGGAAACCAUCUGGCUAGAGUCCGGAAGAGGAGAGUGGAAUUCCCGGUGUAGCGGUGAAAUGCGCAGAUAUCGGGAAGAACACCUAUGGCGAAGGCAGCUCUCUGGGACGGUACUGACGCUGAGACGCGAAAGCGUGGGGAGCGAACAGG
rnacentral:rRNA from 1 species